rnacentral:rRNA from 1 species
AAGUUAAACGGCCGCGGUACCCUAACCGUGCGAAGGUAGCGCAAUCACUUGUUCUUUAAAUAAGGACUAGUAUGAACGGCACCACGAAGGUUAUACUGUCUCCUCCCUCCAAUCAGUGAAACUGACCCCCCCGUGAAGAGGCGGGGAUAAGACUAUAAGACGAGAAGACCCCAUGGAGCUUAAAACUCAGCAUCAAUUGCCACACAAACACACCAUUACAACCAAGCAAGCCUGACGCCUAGUUUUCGGUUGGGGUGACCACGGAGCAAAACAAAACCUCCAUGAUGAAAGGGACCUCCCUAAUCAAAGAGCUACAGCUCAAAGAAUCAAUAAAUUGACAUAAUUGAUCCAAUUAAAUUUGAUCAACGAACCAAGUUACCCUGGGGAUAACAGCGCAAUCCACUUCAAGAGCUCAUAUCGACAAGUGGGUUUACGACCUCGAUGUUGGAUCAGGGUAUCCCAGUGGUGCAGCCGCUACUAAAGGUUCGUUUGUUCAACGAUUAA